rnacentral:rRNA from 1 species
UUAAAUUGAAGAGUUUGAUCAUGGCUCAGAUUGAACGCUGGCGGCAGGCCUAACACAUGCAAGUCGAACGGUAACAGGAAGCAGCUUGCUGCUUCGCUGACGAGUGGCGGACGGGUGAGUAAUGUCUGGGAAACUGCCUGAUGGAGGGGGAUAACUACUGGAAACGGUAGCUAAUACCGCAUAAUGUCGCAAGACCAAAGAGGGGGACCUUCGGGCCUCUUGCCAUCGGAUGUGCCCAGAUGGGAUUAGCUAGUAGGUGGGGUAACGGCUCACCUAGGCGACGAUCCCUAGCUGGUCUGAGAGGAUGACCAGCCACACUGGAACUGAGACACGGUCCAGACUCCUACGGGAGGCAGCAGUGGGGAAUAUUGCACAAUGGGCGCAAGCCUGAUGCAGCCAUGCCGCGUGUAUGAAGAAGGCCUUCGGGUUGUAAAGUACUUUCAGCGGGGAGGAAGGCGGUGAGGUUAAUAACCUCAUCGAUUGACGUUACCCGCAGAAGAAGCACCGGCUAACUCCGUGCCAGCAGCCGCGGUAAUACGGAGGGUGCAAGCGUUAAUCGGAAUUACUGGGCGUAAAGCGCACGCAGGCGGUCUGUCAAGUCGGAUGUGAAAUCCCCGGGCUCAACCUGGGAACUGCAUUCGAAACUGGCAGGCUAGAGUCUUGUAGAGGGGGGUAGAAUUCCAGGUGUAGCGGUGAAAUGCGUAGAGAUCUGGAGGAAUACCGGUGGCGAAGGCGGCCCCCUGGACAAAGACUGACGCUCAGGUGCGAAAGCGUGGGGAGCAAACAGGAUUAGAUACCCUGGUAGUCCACGCCGUAAACGAUGUCGACUUGGAGGUUGUGCCCUUGAGGCGUGGCUUCCGGAGCUAACGCGUUAAGUCGACCGCCUGGGGAGUACGGCCGCAAGGUUAAAACUCAAAUGAAUUGACGGGGGCCCGCACAAGCGGUGGAGCAUGUGGUUUAAUUCGAUGCAACGCGAAGAACCUUACCUACUCUUGACAUCCAGAGAACUUUCCAGAGAUGGAUUGGUGCCUUCGGGAACUCUGAGACAGGUGCUGCAUGGCUGUCGUCAGCUCGUGUUGUGAAAUGUUGGGUUAAGUCCCGCAACGAGCGCAACCCUUAUCCUUUGUUGCCAGCGGUCCGGCCGGGAACUCAAAGGAGACUGCCAGUGAUAAACUGGAGGAAGGUGGGGAUGACGUCAAGUCAUCAUGGCCCUUACGAGUAGGGCUACACACGUGCUACAAUGGCGCAUACAAAGAGAAGCGACCUCGCGAGAGCAAGCGGACCUCAUAAAGUGCGUCGUAGUCCGGAUUGGAGUCUGCAACUCGACUCCAUGAAGUCGGAAUCGCUAGUAAUCGUGGAUCAGAAUGCCACGGUGAAUACGUUCCCGGGCCUUGUACACACCGCCCGUCACACCAUGGGAGUGGGUUGCAAAAGAAGUAGGUAGCUUAACCUUCGGGAGGGCGCUUACCACUUUGUGAUUCAUGACUGGGGUGAAGUCGUAACAAGGUAACCGUAGGGGAACCUGCGGUUGGAUCACCUCCUUACCUUAAAGAA